UCGAGAAUCAUUCGCAAUGGGCGAAAGCCUGACGAUGCGACGCCGUGUGAGCGAUGAAGGCCUUAGGGUCGUAAAGCUCUUUCGCCUGGGAACAAGAGAUUUUGGCUAACACCCAAGAGAUUUGAGGGUACCAGGUAAAGAAGCACCGGCUAACUCCGUGCCAGCAGCUGCGGUAAUACGGAGGGUGCAAGCAUUAAUCGGAUUUAUUGGGCGUAAAGGGCGCGUAGGCGGGAAGAUAAGUCAGAUGUGAAAUCCCGGGGCUCAACCCCGGAACAGCAUAUGAAACUAUUUUUCUAAGAGGGUAGGCGGAGAAAACGGAAUUCCACAAGUAGCGGUGAAAUGCGUAGAUAUGUGGAAGAACACCAGUGGCGAAGGCGGUUUUCUAGCUUAUACCUGACGCUAAAGCGCGAAAGCAAGGGGAGCAAACAGGAUUAGAUACCCGGGUAGUCC
rnacentral:rRNA from 1 species